rnacentral:rRNA from 1 species
GACGAACCGUGCGAACGUUGUUCGGAUUCACUGGGCUUAAAGGGCGCGUAGGCGGACCGCCAAGUCGGGGGUGAAAUCUUCCAGCCCAACUGGAAAACAGCUCCCGAUACUGGCGGCCUGGAGGGGGGUAGGGGUGCGUGGAACUCAGGGUGGAGCGGUGAAAUGCGUAGAUAUCCCGAGGAACGCCGGUGGCGAAAGCGACGCACUGGACCUUUCUUGACGCUGAGGCGCGAAAGCCAGGGGAGCAAACGGG